GCUCGGUUGGUGUAGCCCGGCCAAUCAUGCGGGCCUUUCGAGCCUGCGACGGGGGUUCGAAUCCCCCACCGAGCA
rnacentral:tRNA from 1 species